rnacentral:rRNA from 1 species
AGUGAACGCUGGCGGUAGGCCUAACACAUGCAAGUCGAACGGCAGCACAGUAAUAGCUUGCUCGUACGGGUGGCGAGUGGCGGACGGGUGGGGAAUACAUCGGAAUCUACUUUUUCGUGGGGGAUAACGUAGGGAAACUUACGCUAAUACCUCAUACGACCUACGGGUGAAAGCAGGGGGUCUUCGGACCUUGCGCGAUUGAAUGAGCCGAUGUCGGAUUAGCUAGUUGGCGGGGUAAAGGCCUACUAAGGCGACGAUCCGUAGCUGGGCUGAGAGGAUGAUCAGCCACACUGGAACUGAGACACGGUCCAGACUCCUACGGGAGGCAGCAGUGGGGAAUAUUGGACAAUGGGCGCAAGCCUGAUCCAGCCAUACCGCGUGGGUGAAGAAGGCCUUCGGGUUCUAAAGCCCUUUUGUUGGGAAAGAAAAGCAGCAGGUUAAUACCCCGCUGUUCUGACGGUACCCAAAGAAUAAGCACCGGCUAACUUCGUG